AACGCAAAUUGCACUUUCUGGCAUUCCGGAAAGUAUGCCUGUUUGAGGGUCAGUUAAAUAAAAAUCGGUGUUGUUGCUGCCUUUCGUGGUGACGCGUCGGAAUUGGGUCGUCUUACCUUCGGUUAAGUGACUUAAAAUUUUUGUAUGAUUUUCGAACGUAUUUAAAUUGCUUACGUACGUUUGAGAUAUCGAAUGUUUAUUAGGUUCGGUCAUCCUCAUGAUUCAAGCCUAUAAUUUUUCAUUAAAUGACCUCAAAUCAGGUAAGAAUACCCGCUGAACUUAA
rnacentral:misc_RNA from 1 species